rnacentral:sRNA from 1 species
UACAAGGCCAAUAUGCACUUUCACAAGUUGUUUCUUAGUGUCCCAACGGAGGAACCACUGAAGCAAAGCUUUACCUGUGCUCUACAGAAAGAAAUACUAUACCAAGGAAAGCUCUUUGUAUCAGAAAACUGGAUUUGUUUUCAUUCCAAAGUCUUUGGAAAAGACACAAAGAUCUCUAUUCCAGCUUUCUCGGUAACCCUAAUAAAGAAAACCAAAACUGCUCUUCUAGUGCCAAAUGCCCUGAUCAUAGCAACAGUCACAGACAGGUACAUAUUUGUCUCCUUACUCUCCAGAGAUUCAACUUACAAAUUACUAAAAUCUGUGUGUGGACACUUAGAAAAUACAAGUGUUGGUAACAGUCCCAAUCCAUCUUCUGCUGAAAACAGUUUCCGCGCAGACCGCCCUUCAUCUCUGCCUCUGGAUUUCAAUGAUGAAUUCUCAGAUCUGGAUGGAGUGGUUCAACAAAGAAGGCAAGACAUGGAAGGAUACAGCAGUUCUGGUUCUCAAACUCCUGAAUCUGAGAACUCUCGAGGUUUGGGAAAUUUUUGUAUUUUGACUAAAAUUUAAUUCCCUUCAAAAUAUCCUCACCCCACCUCCUUAAAAA